rnacentral:rRNA from 1 species
UACGUAGGGGGCAAGCGUUAUCCGGAUUUACUGGGUGUAAAGGGGGCGCAGACGGCGAUGCAAGCCAGAAGUGAAAGCCCGGGGCCCAACCCCGGGACUGCUCUUGGAACUGCGUGGCUGGAGUGCAGGAGGGGCAGGCGGAAUUCCUGGUGUAGCGGUGAAAUGCGUAGAUAUCAGGAGGAACACCGGUGGCGAAGGCGGCCUGCUGGACUGCAACUGACGUUGAGGCCCGAAAGCGUGGGGAGCAAACAGG